rnacentral:rRNA from 1 species
GCNGGCCUAACACAUGCAAGUCGAGCGGCAGCGGGAAAGUAGCUUGCUUCUUUUGCCGGCGAGCGGCGGACGGGUGAGUAAUGCCUGGGAAAUUGCCCAGUCGAGGGGGAUAACAGUUGGAAACGACUGCUAAUACCGCAUACGCCCUACGGGGGAAAGCAGGGGACCUUCCGGCCUUGCGCGAUUGGAUAUGCCCAGGUGGGAUUAGCUAGUUGGUGAGGUAAUGGCUCACCAAUGCGACGAUCCCUAGCUGGUCUGAGAGGAUGAUCAGCCACUCUGGAACUGACACACGGUCCACACUCCUACGGGAGGCAGCAGUGGGGAAUAUUGCACAAUGGGGGAAACCCUGAUGCCUCCAUGCCGCGUGUGUGAAGAAGGCCUUCNGGUUGUUAAGNACUUUCAGCGAGGAGGAAAGGUCAUUANCUAAUAUCUGCUGACUGUGACNUUACUCNNAGAAGAANCNCNNNCUAACUCCNUGCCAGC